rnacentral:rRNA from 1 species
AGCAGUAGCCGCGGUAAUACAGAGGGUGCAAGCGUUAAUCGGAAUUACUGGGCGUAAAGCGCGCGUAGGUGGUUUGUUAAGUUGGAUGUGAAAUCCCCGGGCUCAACCUGGGAACUGCAUCCAAAACUGGCAAGCUAGAGUAUGGUAGAGGGUGGUGGAAUUUCCUGUGUAGCGGUGAAAUGCGUAGAUAUAGGAAGGAACACCAGUGGCGAAGGCGACCACCUGGACUGAUACUGACACUGAGGUGCGAAAGCGUGGGGAGCAAACAGGAUUAGAUACCCGCGUAGUCCCUGUCUCUUAUAC